UUACACAAAGAAACCCUGCUUCGAAAAAACAAAAACAAAAACAAACAAAAAAAAAGACUGGUCCUUGAAAACCUGCAGUGCUGGGUAAUCUGGUGCUGGCUACAGGUGGAAGACCCAGCUCCCCAGGAAGCACAGCAGGGUUCCACACAAAAAGCCCAGACACUGACAUCUGGAGUGAAGCAGGAUACCACCCACCCCAUUGCUCACAGGGGCCACAUGCAGAGUGCAUGCAGAAAGAAGAAAGCCUCUAAUAGAGACCAGACAGAGAAGGAAUCAGAAAAGUGGCAAAGCAAAGUAAAACAAAAGUAUCUACCAUAAAUAUAGAAUCCCCGAGAGCCACAGACAUAUAUCCUAGAAAUAAGAAGACAUUUCACUGGAAGGGAGGGCCAAGAAAGUAACUCACAAAGUCAAAGAAAUAAAACAAGAAAAGGCAGUCCAAAAUAGCAUCCGCACCUGGGGGAUGCUCAGCCAGGUGGGGUGUUUCUGAGCUAUUUAAGGAUAAGAAACAUCAAAAGGAGGGUGGGUGCUAGACACAAUACACCUUCCAGAAUGAAGGAUUUGGCUUUUCUCAUUUAAACGCAAGGAAUACACAUGGUACACCUAUGCAUAUGAUCCUGGGAUGAAGACAGAGGACGUUAAAAUUUUUUCUAUAAUCGUUCUCUUUCACCAUCUCUUUUAACACCCCAAGGGUUAUACCUGUAAAAGAUCAAGAUGUCACUGGACUUACAAUGCAACUCUAUACACAACAGACAAGAUUAAUGUUUCCAAAUUAUGUGAUUAAAUUAACUUUAGACUAUUUGUAUGAAUUCUACAUCCAGCUAAACUGUCUAAAAGAGUAGAGCUUCAGACCUCCCAGCAAUCUAUUUGACUUCACAGGUAUAUCUUCACAGGCAGCCUACUAGAGGCUGUGACUCACUCAGUAAAAGUAAAAGUAGGGAUGAGAGAAACCAGGCUUUCCACAGGAGAUGAAGGUGCAGGAUGAUGGCAGUAGGUGUGUAAUUCUACAGGACACACAGAAAGCCAGAAGUCUCUCCAGAUGGGACCGCUGACUGACCUCAAGUGCUGGGCAGUGUGUAAAGUAAGUAUUCUGAGCUAGGUUAGCUCACUGAGCUGCAAAUUUCUAUAUUGGAUAUGGAAUCCAAUUUACAAUCAAUCAAAUGAAUGAAAAUGAAAAUGGAGGUCUGCUUUCCCAUGUCUUUAGGAGUUCAAGGCUAGCACAGCUUCAUUUGACUUAGCAGCUCAAUAUCAUGACAGGUCUCAAUUCUUUUUACCUCUUGCUCAGCCAUUCUCAGCAUGUCUGCCAUCGUUCCUUAUAGUGGCAAGACAAUCUCCAAACACCCUGUCCUCAUGACCACAGCUGCCAGGCAGCUGGAUUGAAGAUCUGGGUUCUCAGGAACCGUCCACAGCAAUUCCACCUUUCUUCCAAGAUUCCCCGCUGGACUCUGUCCUCAACCACUGCUCUUGUGCAUAAGCCUCAGAGGAAAUGUGCGUAUGCUGGAUGAGUGAUGAACACCUGUGACCCACACGAGGUGGGAGACCCUGAUGGAGCACCUCGAGUGGACACCAGGACAACCCUGGGGAGCCACUCCACACAAACAGAAGAGGAAAAUGGCUGCAGGGGAGGUGUCUCUCUCCAGGUCCUGCCUUGAGCUUUGCCCUGACUUUCCUCAGUGAUGGACUGUGAUCCAGGAGUUGUAAGAUGAAAUAGAUCCUUUCCUUCUGAGACUGACUUUGACCAGUGUUUUAUAACUGAGAAGCAAACUAGGACAGCAACACAGCAGAAGAAAAACGGUAACCAAUUCAAACAGCAUAGAGAUGUUAUAAAAUGAAUAUUUUAAGCAAUGACCUGUACAUUAUAAACUCAACAUAACCUACUCCAGGGAGUGAUCUAUAAGCAAGGUCUCCAAUUAUACAUCAACCUCUAUCAUUUAACAAAUCCUUUAUCAAUGUCAGAAUCACUAAAGACAAUGGAAAAAAAAAAACUACAAAGUUAGGCUUGACUUAAAGAGCUUUAUGACAGUUUCCAGAGGCAUACAACUUAUUCAUUCAUUAAGAGAAAAUUGUGUGUUGGUCAAAACUACAAAUGUAAUGAAACUAUGAACAUCGUAAAUGGCACAAUUCUGUGACCUGACACCCAAAAGAUGAUAGUUAAAUAGUUAAAUUUGAGAACUCAAGAGCUACAUUUGCUUUUAAAGAAAAAUUUAAGUCAUAUCAGGUUAGUGUUUCCGUGUGAGCACACAAAGCUGUUUGUCAUAGCAUGUGUGUAUACACCAGAGGACAACUCAUGGGAGUUAUUUCUCUCCUUCUAUCUGUGGGUCUUGGACAUGCAACUCUGAUAGUCAAAUUUGGUGGCAAAUGCCUUUGUCUCACCAGCCCAUACAUGUACUUUUUAAUAUUUGUCUAGAACCAUGAGUGAUGGAGUAAUCCCACAUUAUGGGGAAUAAAUUCUAGAAAAAGAAAUAAAGGUAAACAAGUGUG